AACGAACGCUGGCGGCAUGCCUAACACAUGCAAGUCGAACGAGACCUUCGGGUCUAGUGGCGCACGGGUGCGUAACGCGUGGGAACCUGCCCUUAGGUUCGGAAUAACUCCCCGAAAGGGGUGCUAAUACCGGAUAAUGUCUUCGGACCAAAGAUUUAUCGCCUUUGGAUGGGCCCGCGUUGGAUUAGCUAGUUGGUAGGGUAAAAGCCUACCAAGGCGACGAUCCAUAGCUGGUCUGAGAGGAUGAUCAGCCACACUGGGGCUGAGACACGGCCCAGACUCCUACGGGAAGCAGCAGUGGGGGAUAUUGGACAAUGGGCGAAAGCCUGAUCCAGCAAUGCCGCGUGAGUGAUGAAGGCCUUAGGGUUGUAAAGCUCUUUUAACCGGGAUGAUAAUGACAGUACCGAGAGAAUAAGCCCCGGCUAACUCCGUG
rnacentral:rRNA from 1 species